rnacentral:lncRNA from 1 species
UUGCAUGCAAUAUUUUUUUUAAAAAAAAAGGUUAGCACCCAUUAGAUUUUUAAUUACAAUCAGAUUGAAAAAUACGCCUUAGAUUGUUGGGAAAAUACCACAUCAAAAAUCUAAUUGUGAUUAAAAUCUAAUAAGUUUUGUGAUGAAAAUAAAUAAAUAAACUUACAGAUAAAUACAAAUAUCCCAAUAAAAAUUUGAUCUUAUCCGGAAGCGUGCGAGGCAGUGCCUUAAGGUGUAUUCCCGUCCUUACGUGUGAGAUUAACCAGAAAUAACACCCCAAGGUACAACCGGAAUUCCUCCUCCUCCAAGUACAAUCGUAAAGAAGGUUGAUGGAGAUUCUUUCAACACCCAGUGGAUAAAGGGAAUAUUCAAAAAAGAAAAAUGAAAUAAUAAAAUUAAUAAAGAUUAAUCAAUUAUCUAAUAUCUUUUCUAGCCCUUCCAACCUUGUUUGAAUGCUAAAUGGAACUUGUCCAACUAUUUCUUUCGCAUUGUUCACUUUUAACUCGCGCCGAGUAAUGCUAAAACUUGCUUAACACUCUCAGAACUCGACUUUGACCCUUCCAACAUUAUUGGAAUGUCAACCGGACUUUGUCCAUCCAUUUCUCUCGGCGCUUUAACCAAUUUGGCUAAAGUUCGAUAAUCGCUAUCAUGUGGUCGCCCUCGGCAAACUCCCGA